UGCCGUGAUGAAUUCCUCAGGAAUCUCGUUCGGCUGAACGCUGCUGUUGAGGACUCGGACUCUGAUCCCU
ensembl:snoRNA SNORD30 Small nucleolar RNA SNORD30